UAAAUUUUAUUCAUAUUCUAGAUGGGUGGAAUGCAAGAAUGCUGUGUGAACCACCAAUUGGUUAUUCAAUUUGUUCGGUAUAGAUAAAGUUGUGAAUUUUUAUGGAGUUGUUUUCAUCCUCGAACCAUCGUUAGUUAGUUGACGAGACGGAGAACUGUAGAGAAGAUUUAUAGACGAAAAGAAGAGUUGUUUUGGCCGAAUUAAAAAAACAAUAAAUUAAAUAUAAUAACUGUAGUUACUAUCUUUAAUAAGAUUUUAUGUGGAAGCGCUUUGAGUUUAAACGUGAUUAUGACAGUUGGGUGUUAUGUUAUUCUUCUUUAAUUAAAAAAAAAAUCUUAUUUUCUUUUGUUUGAUUUUGAAUAAAAUUUAUUGUGGGUGAUAUUUAUGAUGUU